rnacentral:rRNA from 1 species
UAAACAUCGAUACCUUUUUACACCCACUAUCCGCCCGGGUACUACAAGCACUAGCUUAAAACCCAAAGGACUUGGCGGUGCUUAAGAUCCACCUAGAGGAGCCUGUUCUAGAACCGAUAAUCCACGUUUAACCUCACCCCCUCUUGUUUUUCCCGCCUAUAUACCGCCGUCGUCAGCUUACCCUAUGAAGGCCUAAUAGUGAGCAAAAAUGGCACAGCCCAAAACGUCAGGUCGAGGUGUAGCACAUGAGGGGGGAAGAAAUGGGCUACAUUCCCUAAAAAUAGGAGCAAUACGGACAAUAUAUUGAAAUAUAUAUUUUAAGGAGGAUUUAGCAGUAAGAGGAAAUUAGAGUGUUCCACUGAAUCCGGCCCUAAAGCGCGCACACACCGCCCGUCACUCUCCCCAAGCCUUAAAAAUUUUAUAUUCAUAAUAAACUUCACUAACAAAGGGGAGGCAAGUCGUAACAUGGUAAGUGUACCGGAAGGUGUACUUGGACAAAU